rnacentral:rRNA from 1 species
AGUGAACGCUGGCGGUAGGCCUAACACAUGCAAGUCGAACGGCAGCACAGUAAGAGCUUGCUCUUACGGGUGGCGAGUGGCGGACGGGUGAGGAAUACAUCGGAAUCUACUUUUUCGUGGGGGAUAACGUAGGGAAACUUACGCUAAUACCGCAUACGACCUACGGGUGAAAGCAGGGGAUCUUCGGACCUUGCGCGAUUGAAUGAGCCGAUGUCGGAUUAGCUAGUUGGCGGGGUAAAGGCCCACCAAGGCGACGAUCCGUAGCUGGUCUGAGAGGAUGAUCAGACACACUGGAACUGAGACACGGUCCAGACUCCUACGGGAGGCAGCAGUGGGGAGUAGUGGACAAUGGGCGCAAGCCUGAUCCAGCCAUACCGCGUGGAUGAAGAAGGCCUUCGGGUUGUAAAGCCCUUUUGUUGGGAAAGAAAAGCAGCAGGUUAAUACCCCGCUGUUCUGACGGUACCCAAAGAAUAAGUAACGGCUAACUUCGUG